rnacentral:rRNA from 1 species
AGCGAACGCUGGCGGCAGGCCUAACACAUGCAAGUCGAACGAAGUCUUCGGACUUAGUGGCGGACGGGUGAGUAACACGUGGGAACGUACCUUUUGGUUCGGAACAACUCAGGGAAACUUGAGCUAAUACCGGAUGUGCCCUUAGGGGGAAAGAUUUAUCGCCAUUAGAGCGGCCCGCGUUGGAUUAGGUAGUUGGUGAGGUAAAGGCUCACCAAGCCUACGAUCCAUAGCUGGUCUGAGAGGAUGAUCAGCCACACUGGGACUGAGACACGGCCCAGACUCCUACGGUAGGCAGCAGUGGGGAAUCUUGCGCAAUGGUCGAAAGACUGACGCAGCCAUGCCGCGUGAAUGAUGAAGGUCUGAGGAUUGUAAAAUUCUUUUACCAGGGACGAUAAUGACGGUACCUGGAGAAAAAGCCCCGGCUAACAUCGUGCCAGCCGCCGCAGUAAUAC